rnacentral:misc_RNA from 1 species
GAAGUGCGAUAAGCAAUGCGAAUUGCAGAACCGUGAGUCAUCAGAUUUUUGAACGCAACUGGCGCUGGCUGGGUCUCCAGCCAGCAUGCUUGUUUCAGUGUCUUGUUUUCUCCUCACCCAAAACUUAAUGCGAGAGAUACCCUUCUCUUGUCAAGCAUGAAAGCACUCUUCUUCUGCGAGCGGCUUCGACUCGAUCGAGGGCCGCACUCAAUGCAGGGCUCAGAGUCCUUUCGUACU